GAUGAACGCUGGCGGCGUGCCUAAUACAUGCAAGUCGAGCGAACAGAUGAGGAGCUUGCUCCUCUGACGUUAGCGGCGGACGGGUGAGUAACACGUGGAUAACCUACCUAUAAGACUGGGAUAACUUCGGGAAACCGGAGCUAAUACCGGAUAAUAUAUUGAACCGCAUGGUUCAAUAGUGAAAGACGGUUUUGCUGUAACUUAUAGAUGGAUCCGCGCCGCAUUAGCUAGUUGGUAAGGUAACGGCUUACCAAGGCAACGAUGCGUAGCCGACCGGAGAGGGGGAUCGGCCACACUGGAACUGGGACACGGUCCAGACUCCUACGGGAGGCAGCAGUAGGGAAUCUUCCGCAAUGGGCGAAAGCCUUACGGAGCAACGCCGCGUGAGUGAUGAAGGUCUUCGGAUCGUAAAACUCUGUUAUUAGGGAAGAACAAAUGUGUAAGUAACUAUGCACGUCUUGACGGUACCUAAUCAGAAAGCCACGGCUAACUACGUG
rnacentral:rRNA from 1 species